GAACCUGCCCUUUGCACUGGGAUAGCCUCGGGAAACCGAGGUUAAUACCGGAUACUCCAUAUUUGUCGCAUGGCGAAUAUGGGAAAACUCCGGCGGCAAAGGAUGGGCCCGCGGCCUGCUAGCUAGUUGGUGGGGUAGUGGCCUACCAAGGCAAUGAUGGGUAGCCGGGUUGAGAGACCGACCGGCCAGAUUGGGACUGAGACACGGCCCAGACUCCUACGGGAGGCAGCAGAA
rnacentral:rRNA from 1 species